UACCAUCCCAUACUUACAGAAUUACAUCUCCCUGGGUGGGUCCAGACAUCUCUAUUUAUUAGCACAGGUAUCCUGAUGCCUGGGUACAGCCUAGGUUUGGGAGUGAAGUGGGAUGUCUUACUUAUCUCAGUAAGAUUCUGUUGAGGACGAUGUCAAUGGUCAUGGGCACAAGGAGCCAGCUCUGCAUUGGGAGCUCUGGUUUUCUAACUGAAGACUCAUCACAUAGAUUCUCUAAGACUCUUGCCCAUGAAACUGACUCAACCUGUGAAGAAAGAGGCUGAGGUCAAACAGAAGUUAUUAAUAUAUUCAAGAUGAGGGUCCCCAUCAGAGAUAUGAGCUGAAGAAAGGACAGAUGCUCUAACCUGGUGCCCCCUGGGACCAUCCUUGCAUCCAGGAGAAGAGCUUACCAGGGAGAAGAGGAAGCCAGCCCAGAGGAAGGAGUGUGAGCAUGGAGGGAGUCAAUCAUGUGGGCAUGACAUCAUUUGAGUCCCUGGAUCUCUGUACCUCCUGUUUGAUAUUGCUUGUGCCCUGAAAACUGCUCUGAAAAAUAAGGCCUA